rnacentral:lncRNA from 1 species
GUACAUGCUUCUAAGUAAGUACGAGUCAAACACCCGGGACUAGAUUGUGGCCCUCCCUCCACACAGAACCUCCACCUGUUUUAACCAUUACUCCCCACUUUCUUUUUUCCCGUCAACUGAAAAAAUGUGGUAAAAUACACAUAACACACGAUUGACAUCUUAGCCAUUUUUAAGCACACGGUGCAGUGACAUCACCACGUGGUGCACGGCGUCCCCCCACCCAUCUCUGGAACCUUCCCACCUUUCCCAACUGGCGCACUGGGCCCAGGAAACACGCACGCCCCCCGCCAGGCCCGAUGCCCACCAUCCACUCCGUCCCCAUGAAUGUGACAUUAGGCCCUCGUGUGAGUGGACUCGGGCAGGGUCUGUCCCUGCGCCUGGCCGGUCCCACUGCGCAGGACGUCGUCGGGUCCACCCAGGUGGUGGCAGGUGUCAGACGCCUCCCUGGGGCUGGGUUGUCCACCCUCUGCUGACGGACACCUGCUCCGUGUCCUGCUCACCGUGAGCGAUGCUGCGGUCGACCGCGUGUGACACACCGCCUCACGUUCUUGGGGACGUGUGCCCGGAAGCGGAGCAGCUGGAUCCCCACUUCCCUUUAGCGGCUCCCGAAAUAAGUGCCGCCCGCCUGACCUCCCUCCAAGGAGAACCGCUUCGCCCGCGAGUCUGGGACGGACUCCUUCCCCGAGCACUGUCUGAGGUCCCUUCCCGCGGGCGGGGGGGCGGGGGCGGGUGACGAGGCAGCAGGAGCCGGGAGGGCGGGGGUUCUUCACCGGUUUCUGUGGGUUUGCUUAAUCCCACGCCAUUCUCCAUUCGCAGGCUUCCGAGGAAGGCGGAGGGGAGAGAAGGGGGAGGGGGUCUCAGCCCACGUCCCGCCCCCAGGAAGACACCUGACCCGUCUCCAAGUUGCCGGCCCGUGGCGAGAGGGGCCUUUGUGCGCGUGAAGGCGGCUGCCUGGGACCCGGAGCCCUGAGCCACCCCGGCUGCGCCGCCUCCCUGCGCCCUUCACGCCCAGCCGAGGAGCUCGCAAAUAAAUCCACAGACACAAAAUCUUGUGUGCCGGGGAGAGACUGCGGCGUGGGCAGCGGCGGAGAGCAGGUGCGGGGCGCAGCGAGGCUGGGCGCGGGGAGGCUGGGCCCGCGCCCGCCCAACGGGAGCACAAACCCGCGCCGGGGCCUGGCAGCAGUAAGUUGACUUGCCCAGACCUUCGGAGGCUGCAGGCCCUUCAGAAGGGGGAAGCCGGGCGGGCAGGGUGGAGGUGGGGCGGGCUCCACCCCACACCCGGGGCCGCCCUUCCUCCCAGGGGGCCAGGGUGACGGGUCGCUGGGUACCGGGAACGAAGGGCUGAGCCUCGGUGCUCAGGUCUGAAAU